AGGACGAACGCUGGCGGCGUGCUUAACACAUGCAAGUCGAGCGGUAAGGCCUUUCGGGGUACACGAGCGGCGAACGGGUGAGUAACACGUGGGUGAUCUGCCCUGCACUUCGGGAUAAGCCUGGGAAACUGGGUCUAAUACCGGAUAUGACUUCAGGUUGCAUGACUUGGGGUGGAAAGUAUUUAUCGGUGCAGGAUGGGCCCGCGGCCUAU
rnacentral:rRNA from 1 species